rnacentral:rRNA from 1 species
GGAGGCAGCAGUAAGGAAUAUUGGGCAAUGGACGGAAGUCUGACCCAGCCAUGCCGCGUGCGGGAAGACGGCCCUUUGGGUUGUAAACCGCUUUUAUCUAGGAAGAAUGGCCUUGAUUUAUCAGGGAAGAGACGGUACUAGAUGAAUAAGCACCGGCUAACUCCGUGCCAGCAGCCGCGGUAAUACGUAUGUCUCGAGCGUUACCCGGAAUCACUGGGUGUAAAGGGUUUGUAGGCGGCUUGUUAAGUUGGAUAUGAAAGACCGGAGCUCAACUCCGAGUUUGUGUUCAAAACUGGCAAGCUAGAAUCAAGGAGAGGUAAGCGGAAUUCUAAGUGUAGGGGUGCAAUCCGUAGAUACUUAGAGGAACACCAAAAGCGAAGGCAGCUUACUGGAAUUGUAUUGACGCUGAGGAACGAAAGCGUGGGGAGCGAAAAGGAUUAGAUACCCUUGUAGUCCACGCCCUAAACGAUGAUAACUAAGUGUUGUGUUUUCGGAUGCAGUGCUGUAGCUAACGCGUUAAGUUAUCCACCUGAGGAGUACGGUCGCAAGAUUAAAACUCAAAUGAAUUGACGGGGGCCCGCACAAGCGGUGGAGCAUGUGGUUUAAUUCGAUGCAACGCGAAGAACCUUACCUACACUUGACAUGCUGAGAAGUUACUAGAGAUAGUUUCGUGCCUUCGGGAACUCAGACACAGGUGCUGCAUGGCUGUCGUCAGCUCGUGCCGUGAGGUGUUGGGUUAAGUCCCGCAACGAGCGCAACCCUUAUCCUUAGUUGCUAGCAGGUUAUGCUGAGAACU